CGGACGGGUGAGUAACGCGUGGGUAACCUGCCCUAUACACAUGGAUAACAUACUGAAAAGUUUACUAAUACAUGAUAAUAUAUAUUUACGGCAUCGUAGAUAUAUCAAAGUGUUAGCGGUAUAGGAUGGGGAUGCGUCUGAUUAGCUUGUUGGUGAGGUAACGGCUCACCAAGGCAACGAUCAGUAGGGGUUCUGAGAGGAAGGUCCCCCACAUUGGAACUGAGACACGGUCCAAACUCCUACGGGAGGCAGCAGCC
rnacentral:rRNA from 1 species